UCUUAGAACCGAGUACGAUGAUGCAGUGAAAACAAAGGGAACGCGCUGAUGGCUGUAUCCUGAACAGACAUCCUUCAUUCAGUCUAAAAAAUAUAACGAGGUUGUUCAUUAAUCUCAUUAAAUUAUUAAAACUAUAGUAGCCAGAUACUUUCAUCAAUCAGAAGAUACCUAUUCUGAAGACCGCGGUAAUAUGGCGGAUGCAAACAAUGAAGUUGAAUGCGCUAUGUGCAAAAUUGGGCUGGCAAGCCUCAAUAACAUUCCGAUGGAGCUCCGUAAAUUUGUUCGUGAAGCUGCUUAUGAGUGGUCCUACUUGUCCACCAACAGAAUCUAUAACGAGCAAGACAUUCCGCGUCGUGGACGACACAACUUUCUUGUGCCAAUUUAUCAACCCAGGGAGGACUACCAAGAGUAUAACACUUACCGCCGUGUUAAGAGGUCCUGCGGAAGCAAGUAGAUUGACAGAGAAAAUGAGAGAAGACAUACAGAGUACGGAGAAAUUAAGCCGAUAUCAUUUUGGAAAAGAGACUACAUUGUUGAUCUACAGGACUAGUAUUAAGAUAUUUCGAUAAUUAGUAUUGUACCUACUUCUCUAUAUUAUCUACUAUCUAUAAAAUAUGAAUAUCUAUUUUAUCCCUUCCGCCUAAUACAGUGAGAAAAAUUGUGAGCCAAAUUAUAUUUGCGAAUUAUUAUAAAUUAUAUCUUGAAAUUAGGUCGAUAUUUAUCAAAAUUUUUCUGUCCUUUAUUGUAUUCUGUACUAUAUUGCUUGCGAAAUUAAUUGCAAUUGUUAUUUUUUGCUUGCAAAUAAUCCAGGUCUAAGCUCCCUAUAAAAUAUCUAUAAUGUAUAACCUAAUUAUAAUCGUAGUAAUAAGCGUAUUUAUAAAUUAUUGUUUAUUUAAUUUAUUCGUAAUCGGUUAAUGGUUAAUUGGAUAUUUUUAUCAAUGCUUUGUUACAUUCUUUAACAAUUAAAAUUUUUUUAUUAUUUUGGGUUCAUAGAAACUAUUAUUUUUAGAAUUAUUUCUAUUUUUCCUUAUUCAAUUUACUUUUUUUCUUAUGAAAAUCAUGGAAAAUUAUCAACGUUAAUAUAAUUUCGUAUUCAAAUAACAAAAAGGAUUUAAUUUUUAGAUUAUUAUUUUAUAUUUAUUAACAAAAAAUAUAAAAGAAUAAGUUUGGAUAUUGCACAAUUACAAAAAAAGAGGUUUAAGUCGUUCAUAAAUUUGGAUAGGUCUUUUUCGAUUUUGAAUUUAUUUGUAUCAUUAUAAGUUUUAGCAUGUAAGUUUAGAUUUGAAAUGUCGAAAGUCUGCGCAGAGGCAUGUCCGAUCGCAUGAUCUUUCGCUGGGAAAUUAUCCUCAUGAUUACGGCUCAAUUGUCCAAGUAUAGUCUCUCUCGUUGAUGUCAACCUAGUCAUAUAUUCCCUCUUAAUAAAUGUGUGAACAUUA